CCCUUAGAUGUCCUGGGCCGCAUGCGCGCUACACUGACAUGUUCAACAAGUUUCUCCUAGUUCGACAGGACUGGGAAAUCUUUGAACGCAUGUCGUGAUAGGGAUAGAUCAUUGCAAUUAUUGAUCUUGAACGAGGAAUUCCUAGUAAACGCGAGUCAUCAGCUCGCAUUGAUUACGUCCCUGCCCUUUGUACACACCGCCCGUCGCACCUACCGAUUGAAUGUUUCGGUGAAGAUUCCGGAUAGGACUGAUUUGAUUUAUUUCAUUUCUGACCUAAAAGCUAUCUAAACCUCAACAUUUAGAGGAAGGUGAAGUCGUAACA
rnacentral:rRNA from 1 species